ensembl:lncRNA
AUAAUAGAAGACAGGAAACCAAAGCACAAAGGAAACAGCAAGUAAAACAGAUCCUUUUCUAGACUUGUAAGAGUUUGAUGUAAUGUGUGGAGUGCUGGUCCGAGCCUCAAAGACAGGUGAAAAGUUCGGCCAUCUGGGAAGUGCUCAGAGUAGAGCCACUGCUCCUCCACAUCGAAAGGACCCAGUUGAGGUGGUUCGUGCAUCUGACAAGUAUGCCUCCUGGGUGAGGUGUUCUGGGCAUGUUCCACCGGGAGGAGGCCCCAACACUCCAACAACAAAGACCACUGGAUAUUCUCAAGUCACGGCUUUCCUUUUUCCUUUUCCUUUUAUUUGGACUUUCUUGCUUGACAAUCAGCUUUUCUCACGCUCACCUGCUUAUCCCAACCUGCCCAGCAUUCGGACCCACGUUAAUGACCUCCCCUCUUCUCCUGCUCCCCUCCCUGGGAGUUCCUUCACUGGAUGUUACCCAGUGUCGGGUUCUCCACCCUGUGCGGGACAGCCCCAACACUCCCUCACGGACACCCCCC